rnacentral:sRNA from 1 species
GUCGUGAGAUGUUGGGUUAAGUCCCGCAACGAGCGCAACCCUUGUCCUUAGUUGCCAGCACGUAAUGGUGGGAACUCUAAGGAGACUGCCGGUGACAAACCGGAGGAAGGUGGGGGUGACGUCAAGUCAUCAUGGCCCUUACGGCCAGGGCUACACACGUACUACAAUGGUGGGGACAGAGGGUCGCCAAGGCGCGAGCCGGAGCCAAUCCCAGAAACCCCAUCCUAGUCCGGAUCGAAGUCUGCAACUCGACUUCGUGAAGUCGGAAUCGCUAGUAAUCGCGGAUCAGCAUUGCCGCGGUGAAUACGUUCCCGGGCCUUGUACACACCGCCCGUCACACCAUGGGAGUUUGUUGCACCAGAAGCAGGUAGCUUAACCGCAAGGAGAGCGCUUGCCACGGUGUGGCCGAUGACUGGGGUGAAGUCGUAACAAGGUAGCCGUAUCGGAAGGUGCGGCUGGAUCACCUCCUUUUGAGCAACGGGACGCGAAGUGUCACAGGCGCCCGCACAAGUUUCCUGCAUUCAGAGAGCAUCGCCCGCCGGGUUGGACCUGGUGGUGUGGUGAUGUCCCGUUAUCAGGGGCUUUAGCUCAGCUGGGAGAGCACCUGCUUUGCAAGCAGGGGGUCAUCGGUUCGAUCCCGAUAAGCUCCACCACCCAGGCUUGAACUUGAGGCAUGGGUCUGUAGCUCAGGUGGUUAGAGCGCGCCCCUGAUAAGGGCGAGGUCGGAGGUUCGAGUCCUCCUAGACCCACCAUCUUCUGAAUGUUGGCGCACACGAUUUGAUCUGGCGAUCGGCUUUGAAGCCGGUGGCAUGUUCUUUGACAAUGUGGAUGUAGCGAGCGUUUUAGACAAUUGUGAUUGUCGAAAUGUGUCGUGAGGCUAAGGCGGGCACGAAGGUGCCUGAAUCGAAGUGUUGUAGGUUUGUUCGACGCUGUGUGGCUGCAGGUGAUUUGCGGUUAUAUGGUCAAGCGAAUAAGCGCACACGGUGGAUGCCUUGGCGGUCAGAGGCGAUGAAGGACGUGGCAGCCUGCGAAAAGGCACGGGGAGCUGGCAACAAGCAUUGAUCCGUGCAUGU